AGGAGGGCGAGGCCUGGGGUAGGGCCAGGAUAAGCGUCGUUGGGGCAGGUCCUGGGUAGAGUCCAGGUUGGCGGGUCCUGGGGCGGAGUCAGGAUAGGGCGAUCCUGGAAGCUGGGCUUCAGAAGCGUCCAGCGCCACCCGUCUGGGGCCCGAAAGGAGGGAGCUUUCCCUCUGUCCUCCAGCCUUUGGACUGUCUCCAAACAAGCCAUUCGUUCACCAAAUACUUAUUAAGCACCUACCAUGUGCCUGACAAGGGAGAUGUAACGCUGGGGAAACUGAGUUACAGAGCUUUUCUGCACUGAGUCAUCAGGAGCAAAUGCUAGAUCAGAUAGGGUCUCUCUCUCUGCCACCCAGGCCAGAGUGCAGUUGACGCAGGGCAGGGGAGCCCCGAAGUGGAGCAUAGUGUGUCCGGAACUGGUGGGUUCUUGGUCUCACUGACUUCAAGAAUGAAGCCGUGGACCCUCACGGUUCAAGCGAUUCUCCUGCCUCAGCCUCCAGAGUAGCUGGAACUACAGAUGCGCACCACCACGCCCAGGCUGUGCUUCUCAGUGGCUCCCACCAGAUACCUGAUGGUCCUGUCGAUUUGCUGAAUCAUCAACUUCCUAUUCUCUGCCUCUGGCCUGAAUCGAUGUCCCACGUUAUCUGGCUCUCUGUAACACAGAGUCACAAAGUCAAAGUCUUCCUUGGUGAACCAGUUCAUGACAGUAUCGAUGUUCGCACUCCGCUCUGUCUCGUUGCUGUUUGGAGACAGGGUUUCACCAUGUUGGCCAGGCUUGUCUUGAACUCCUGACGUCGUGAUCUGCCUGCUUUGGCCUCCCAAAGUCCUGGGAUUACAGGCAUGAGCCACCGUACCCAGCCACUCUUGAUUAACUUAAUGGAAAUAUUUACAGAGAUUCUUUCUCUUCUGGGUUCUAGCGUCUUAUCUGUAACCUCUGCAGGGGAGUCACUGAGCAGAACGAAGCGAGUUGCCUGAGAUUCUUCAAAGCCCCAGCCCUUUUGGAGGUUACAUUGUUAUUCUCAGAGCCUUUAUGAUGCAUAAUAAAGACCUAGCUUGUACCAA
ensembl:lncRNA LINC02018 long intergenic non-protein coding RNA 2018